GGGUUCCUGGUCUUGCUGACUUCAAGAAUGAAGCUGUGGACCCUUGCGGUUUACCGGAAGCAGAUCCAGAGAUAAGGCAUUGGUGUGCUAGUGAUUUAUCAAGAAGGUACUCAGAGGACAAACUGAUAAGAAACUGCGGAAGAAAGAGAGGCCAAGCAUGGAUGUGAAUUCAAAAGUCCCCAAGCAGAUUGUUUGGGUCUUGUCCCUCAAGGCAACUCUGGAGUGUAACUCAUGCCACAGGGCGAUUUCUUCCAGAGGCCAGGGCUUAGGGUUUUCUUGCUCUCGCACCUAGGUAUAAUAUGUUAUGGACCACCUGAGUGGGAUGGAUGAAACCCAGAACACUCCUGCCAUCCAAGCACGUGCAAAGUGGAUCCAUUAACCCUAAAACAGCAAUCCAAAGUGGUGUCAGGUACAGGCAGUUGGAAGCAAAAGCACACAGGAAAUGGGAAAAGUCCUCAGAGAAACAGGAAAUAAGAUCUGAGCACUUUGGGAGGCCGAGAAGUGGA
rnacentral:lncRNA from 10 species